rnacentral:rRNA from 1 species
GACGAACGCUGGCGGCGUGCCUAAUACAUGCAGGUAGAACGCUGAAGAGAGGAGCUUGCUCUUCUUGGAUGAGUUGCGAACGGGUGAGUAACGCGUAGGUAACCUGCCUUGUAGCGGGGGAUAACUAUUGGAAACGAUAGCUAAUACCGCAUAACAAUGGAUGACACAUGUCAUUUAUUUGAAAGGGGCAAUUGCUCCACUACAAGAUGGACCUGCGUUGUAUUAGCUAGUAGGUGAGGUAAUGGCUCACCUAGGCGACGAUACAUAGCCGACCUGAGAGGGUGAUCGGCGACGCUGGGACUGAGACACGGCCCAGACUCCUACGGGAGGCAGCAGUAGGGAAUCUUCGGCAAUGGGGGCAACCCUGACCGAGCAACGCCGCGUGAGUGAAGAAGGUUUUCGGAUCGUAAAGCUCUGUUGUAAGUCAAGAACGGGUGUGAGAGUGGAAAGUUCACACUGUGACGGUAGCUUACCAGAAAGGGACGGCUAACUACGUG